rnacentral:pre_miRNA from 1 species
AGUGAAAUUGCUGGGUUGUAUGGUAAGAUUAUGUUAAACUUUCUUUUAAAGAAAAUGCCAAACUGUUUUCCAAAGUAGCUGUAUCAUUUAAUAGUUCCACCAGUAAU